rnacentral:rRNA from 1 species
GACGAACGCUGGCGGCGUGCCUAAUACAUGCAAGUAGAACGCUGAAGGAGGAGCUUGCUUCUCUGGAUGAGUUGCGAACGGGUGAGUAACGCGUAGGUAACCUGCCUGGUAGCGGGGGAUAACUAUUGGAAACGAUAGCUAAUACCGCAUAAUAGCAGUUGUUGCAUGACAACUGUUUGAAAGGUGCAAUUGCACCACUACCAGAUGGACCUGCGUUGUAUUAGCUAGUUGGUGGGGUAACGGCUCACCAAGGCGACGAUACAUAGCCGACCUGAGAGGGUGAUCGGCCAAACUGGGACUGAGACACGGCCCAGACUCCUACGGGAGGCAGCAGGAGGGAAUCUUCGGCAAUGGACGGAGGUCUGACCGAGCAACGCCGCGUGAGGGAAGAAGGUUUUCGGAUCGUAAAGCUCUGUUGUAAGAGAAGAACGAGGGUGAGAGUGGAAAGUUCACACUGUGACGGUAUCUUACCAGAAAGGGACGGCUAACUACGUG